rnacentral:rRNA from 1 species
CGAGAUUAGAGACUUCGGUUUCUAUGAAAGUGGCGCACGGGUGCGUAACACGUAUGCAACCUACCUUCAAUUGGGGGAUAGCCUUCCGAAAGGGAGAUUAAUACCGCAUAAGAUAUCAGAAUGGCAUCAUUUAGAUAUUAAAACUUUGGUGAUUGAAGAUGGGCAUGCGUUGCAUUAGCUAGUUGGUAAGGUAACGGCUUACCAAGGCUACGAUGCAUAGGGGAUCUGAGAGGAUGGUCCCCCACACUGGUACUGAGAUACGGACCAGACUCCUACGGGAGGCAGCAGUAAGGAAUAUUGGUCAAUGGACGGAAGUCUGAACCAGCCAUGCCGCGUGCAGGAAGACGGCCCUAUGGGUUGUAAACUGCUUUUGUCGGGGAAUAAACCUAGAUACGUGUAUUUAGUUGAAGGUACCCGAAGAAUAAGGAUCGGCUAACUCCGUGCCAGCAGCCGCGGUAAUACGGAGGAUCCAAGCGUUAUCCGGAUUUAUUGGGUUUAAAGGGUGCGUAGGCGGUAAAUUAAGUCAGAGGUGAAAGCCUGCAGCUCAACUGUAGAACUGCCUUUGAUACUGGUUUACUUGAGUACAGAUGAAGUGGGCGGAAUGUGACAAGUAGCGGUGAAAUGCAUAGAUAUGUCACAGAACACCGAUUGCGAAGGCAGCUCACUAAAGUGUAACUGACGCUGAGGCACGAAAGCGUGGGGAUCAAACAGGAUUAGA